rnacentral:tRNA from 1 species
GUCCCAGUAGCAUAGUGAUUAGUGCACAGCCCCGGAUAGGUUGAGACUUGGGUUCGAAUCCCUCUUGAGAUA